CAGAAUGCUGCAAACCAAAAACUCAGUGUUAAAACAGUGAUUGAAAAAAUGAUAAACGUCAUGCACCGGGGAAAAAAAAAAAAAAAGAAGCAGCAAUUUCUAGUCUUCACAACAAUGCUGUGGGCAUCAACAAACCCUUGAAUUAAACCAAACAUGACUUGUGGGGGUUGAAUCCACAUGCUGCGACGCAGACAAUAAAUGAGAAAGCACUAUAACUCCAUCAGAACAUGAUGGAAGUUCAUAUCAUGCAAAUAUCUAGUUCAGGAUUGGAGUAAUAACAAGGAUAAGCUGAUCAAUAAAAUAAGUAAUAACGAGGAUAAUUCAAUGAUGAUGAUAACAGCAACAGCAGCGAGAGUGACACAAUUAGUUAAGUAUGAUCUUCCACCCCCAGGGAGAGUACACAAAAUGACAA